GAUGAACGCUGGCGGCAUGCCUAAUACAUGCAAGUCGAACGAGAGGAAGGAAAGCUUGCUUUCCUGAAUCUAGUGGCGAACGGGUGAGUAACACGUAGGUAACCUGCCCAUGUGCCCGGGAUAACUUCUGGAAACGGAUGCUAAAACCGGAUAGGUAGCAGACAAGCAUUUGACUGCUAUUAAAGUGGCUAAGGCCAUGAACAUGGAUGGACCUGCGGUGCAUUAGCUAGUUGGUGAGGUAACGGCCCACCAAGGCGACGAAGCAUAGCCGGCCUGAGAGGGCGGACGGCCACAUUGGGACUGAGACACGGCCCAAACUCCUACGGGAGGCAGCAGUAGGGAAUUUUCGUCAAUGGGGGGAACCCUGAACGAGCAAUGCCGCGUGAGUGAGGAAGGUCUUCGGAUCGUAAAGCUCUGUUGUAAGAGAAAAACGGCACUCAUAGGGAAUGAUGAGUGAGUGAUGGUAUCUUACCAGAAAGUCACGGCUAACUACGUGCCAGCCGCCGCUGUAAUAC
rnacentral:rRNA from 1 species